rnacentral:rRNA from 1 species
CAUCGACGGGGAGGUUUGGCACCUCGAUGUCGGCUCGGCGCAACCUGGGGCUGCAGUCGGUCCCAAGGGUUGGGCUGUUCGCCCAUUAAAGCGGCUCGCGAGCUGGGUUCAAAACGUCGUGAGACAGUUUGGUUCCUAUCUGAUGUGGGCGUUGGAAUAUUGAUGAGAGCUACUCUUAGUACGAGAGGACCGGAGUGGACGCACCGAUGGUGUGCCAGUUGUUUCGCCAGAAGCAUAGCUGGGUAGCCAAGUGCGGCAGGGAUAACCGCUGAAAGCAUCUAAGCGGGAAGCCCCCUCAAAGAUUAGUAUUCCCUUUAAAAUUCCUUAUAGACUAUGAGGUUGAUAGGCUGGAGGUGUAAGUGCAGCAAUGCAUUCAGCUGACCAGUACUAAUAAAUUUAUUGGUUUAAUAGUAAUAUUCUAUAUAGUU